CCUACGGGAGGCAGCAGUGGGAAGAAUGCACAAAGGGGGAAAACCGGAGGCAGAGACGGCGGGUGAGGGAAGAAGUAUCUCGGUACGUAAAGCUCUAUUAGCAGGGAAGAAAAUGACGGUACCUGACUAAGAAGCCCCGGCUAACUACGUGCCAGCAGCCGCGGUAAUACGUAGGGGGCAAGCGUUAUCCGGAUUUACUGGGUGUAAAGGGAGCGUAGACGGCAGCACAAGUCUGGAGUGAAAUCCCGGGGCUUAACCCCGGAACUGCUUUGGAAACUGUGCGGCUGGAGUGCAGGAGGGGUAAGCGGAAUUCCUAGUGUAGCGGUGAAAUGCGUAGAUAUUAGGAGGAACACCGGUGGCGAAGGCGGCUUACUGGACUGUAACUGACGUUGAGGCUCGAAAGCGUGGGGAGCAAACAGGAUUAGAUACCCGUGUAGUC
rnacentral:rRNA from 1 species